rnacentral:tRNA from 1 species
GAAGGUAUAGCUCAAGUGGUAGAGUGCAUGCUUAGCAUGCAUGAGGUACUGGGUUCAAUCCCCAGUACCUCCU